GAAUCACUGCAGUUGUCCCAGGGACACGACAGAGUGUGAAUGAGAGGAGGACUGGUUAGUGAAAUCACGGCUCUGCUGCUGUGAUUCACCCCCGACGUUGUUUGAGGUUUCCCUCGAGACAGGAUCCAUGCUGCUGCUGACAAGUGCAGAGAGACUCAGAGCCCCACUCAUUCCACACUGCUUCAGGAAGUAAGGGCAGUUAAGGAAUGGAAAUAAACAACAAAAAUGCCUCCACAUCAAACCAACCUAAGAGGACCAACUUCCCAACAGAUCCCUCCUCCAGACCAAUGCUGCUCAGAAUUCCUUGGGAAGCUCAUCCCUGGAGCAGGAACUAGGUUUGCACAAACGGGUAAGGACAAUGACUUUGUAAAGCAGCUUGAAUCAGCAGUGACAUCCUUGAACUGUGACAAGUGUCUGUGGAGAGAGAACCCAGCUCAGCUCCCAACCACCAACACAUGAAGCUUGCUGGAAGCUUCACACCUUGGAAACCAAAUACAUCCUUUUCUCUAUACACUGGAACACAUGGGUGGGUUUUAGGCUGCGUGUCUUUAGCCAUACAAAUUAAAAGUUCCUCAAUAAUUAACCAAACCGGGAAUAGUCAAGGAACACAAACUUUGUGCCCAAAAGCAGCUUUGGAGCAGUUGACUCACCAAGAAGGUUUACUGGUAUCAAUUCUGUUUUAAGAACUAAACUGCUUGAAAA